AACUUUCGACAACGGAUCUCUUGGCUCUCGCAUCGAUGAAGAACGCAGCGAAAUGCGAUAAGUAAUGUGAAUUGCAGAAUUCAGUGAAUCAUCGAAUCUUUGAACGCACCUUGCGCCCUUUGGUAUUCCGAGGGGCAUGCCUGUUUGAGUGUCAUUAAAUACCAU
rnacentral:rRNA from 1 species